GCACGGAGUUAGCCGAUCCUUAUUCUUACCGUACAUUCAGCUUCCUACACGUAGAAAGGUUUAUUCCGGUAUAAAAGCAGUUUACAACCCAUAGGGCCGUCUUCCUGCACGCGGCAUGGCUGGUUCAGACUUCCGUCCAUUGACCAAUAUUCCUUA
rnacentral:rRNA from 1 species